rnacentral:rRNA from 1 species
GACGAACGCUGGCGGCGUGCUUAACACAUGCAAGUCGAGCGAUGAAGUUCCUUCGGGAAUGGAUUAGCGGCGGACGGGUGAGUAACACGUGGGUAACCUGCCUCAUAGAGGGGAAUAGCCUUCCGAAAGGAAGAUUAAUACCGCAUAUGAUUGUAGUGCCGCAUGGUACAGCAAUUAAAGGAGUAAUCCGCUAUGAGAUGGACCCGCGUCGCAUUAGCUAGUUGGUGAGGUAACGGCUCACCGAGGCGACGAUGCGUAGCCGACCUGAGAGGGUGAUCGGCCACAUUGGGACUGAGGCACUGCCCAGACUCCUACGGGAGGCAGCAGUGGGGAAUAUUGCACAAUGGGGGAAACCCUGAUGCAGCAACGCCGCGUGAGUGAUGACGGUCUUCGGAUUGUAAAGCUCUGUCUUCAGGGACGAUAAUGACGGUACCUGAGGAGGAAGCCACGGCUAACUACGUGCCAGCCGCCGCGGUAAGAC